rnacentral:rRNA from 1 species
UACGGGGGGAGCAAGCGUUGUUCGGAUUUACUGGGCGUAAAGGGCGCGUAGGCGGUCGUGACAAGUCACUUGUGAAAUCUCCGGGCUUAACUCGGAACGGUCAAGUGAUACUGUCGGACUAGAGUACAGAAGGGGCAACUGGAAUUCUCGGUGUAGCGGUGAAAUGCGUAGAUAUCGAGAGGAACACCUGCGGCGAAGGCGGGUUGCUGGGCUGAUACUGACGCUGAGGCGCGAAAGCGUGGGUAGCGAACAGG